GUCAGGCAUGGUGGUGCGCACCUGUAGUCCCAGCUACUCAGGAGGCUGAGGCAAGAGGAUUGCUUGAGCCCAGGAGUUCUGGGCUGUAGUGCACUAUGCUGAUCGAGUGUCUGCACUAAGUUCAUCAAUAUGGUGACCUCCUGGGAGCCAAGGACCAACAGGUUGCCUAGGGAGGGAUGAACCAGCCCAGGUUGGAAAUGGAGCAGGUCAAAAUUUCCAUGCCACUUAGUAGUGGCAUCGUGCCUGUGAAUAGCCACUGCAUUCUGGCCAGGCCAACAUCACAAGACUCUGUCUCUA
ensembl:misc_RNA Metazoa_SRP Metazoan signal recognition particle RNA